UUGUUGCGUCACUAUGAGCAUCGUGAUCAUUUAAUCUUCUUCACUUCUCCUUUUCCCUCCUUGUAUUGUUUGGUUGUGUGUUGUAUCCCCAUUUUUGCAAGAUAUGUUGUAGUCAUUCAUUCUGAAUAAAAUCCCUGAUGCAUUCAGAAAGUACAACUUGAACAAUCAACAACUUUACUACAGCUUUCAGUGCUUCGCCCACAUUGUUACCGGCUGGAAAUUAUAUAUGACAGCAACCGUAAUUAAACUUAGUUUGUGUAUUAUCUUUGAUGUUUUAUGCAGACGUUUUCAUUUGCAGAGAAAUCAGACAAACGCAGCUGUGUGUACAGCAGCGUCAUUCUUGAUUUGACCACCGGAUGGCACAGUAAAGAAGAAGUUUCUACUGGGUAGAUUAACUGUAUUUUAAUUGUAUGUGUGUAACUUUAUGUUAACAUGUACAUGCAGCUGUAACUGUCUGUAAGCAUCAUGAAGCUGACUGUUACAGACAUAUGAAUGACUGUAAUUUCAUUCUGUAAAUAUAGAAACUAAACAAAGAUUUUCCUCUGUUGGAUAAAGUUAUAUUUUUGCUGUAA